UGGAAUGUACAAAGGAAACUCGGCAACACGUGUAAACUAGAUUACCUACAGUCACUGCCUUCACUGUUUUCUAUGGUGUCCUGAAAAUAGAAAGAAAGCUUUAAUACAGAGAGCUGUGGAACACUGGAUUUCAGUUCUGUAGCAUACAGGUGCAACACGGUCAGCUGCCUCGCUCUCUGGCCGCGGUCCUUUUCUGGUCACAGUGAACUGUACCCCCUCACACUAUGAGCCAAGACAAAUCCUUUCUCCUUUGAAUUGCUUCCGUUGGGUGUUUCAUGACAGCUCUCAGAGAAGCAACUAAUACAGGAAAUUGGUAGCAAGAAGUGGCAUUGUUGGUCUAAGAAACCCGACCAUGAGGUUCUUAACUCUUCUGAACUGGUUUACAAGUGGAAUGUUGAAGAGUUUGGAAGUCUGGGCUAAAGAAGCUGCAGAACGCUGUAAAUAGAGCUUAACAGCCACUCUAGUGGGAAUUUGAAAGCCAACAGAAAUAUGUACAGUCAAGUCUGAGCUUAGGUUUCAGAAAGGAACAAGACUCUUCCUGGGAAUCGAAAUAGAGGCCGUUCUUAUUAUAGUCAUGUGAAGAAUCUAUCUGUGUUUUGUUUGUGUUCUGGAAAUUUUAGUGGGGCUAAAUCUGAAAGUAGUAAGGUAAGCUGUUUAGCAGAGGAAAUCUCCAGACAGCGUAACAUUCAGGGUUGGUCAUGAAUACAAAUAUAAAAUGGACAGAGUGAAAAUAAGGGAGCCGUGGAGAUGGCUCAUUGGGCAAGAAGACUUGUUGUGCAGACAUGAGGAUCUGAGUUCAAAUUCCCAGAGUCCAUUAAAAAAAAAGCAGUGUGGUUAGAACAAGCCAGGAUUUACCACUCUACUCCCAAUUUCAAUGUGUGGAAAGAAGACUCUAAGAUUUACCAUCCUAUCUCACAGAUAAUGAUAUAAAGAAAAAUUUCACCUGGAUAGCAGUACUUUGGUUUUAUGUUGUCAUGAGCUAUAAAACAUUUAAGAGUUUGUUUAGCCUUCUUGCAAGCUAAUGAGCUAACCUGCUAGAGAUUCAUAGUUGCUGGCAGAAGUCUGAGGUUUGGGGCAGGAGAGUCAGUAUUUACGGCUCACAGCACAACAAACAGCAUGAGCAUCAGCAUAUGUGUGUCAGUUUCUUUGCCCCUAGCCUCAUGCAGAGUGUUUAAGAAGCUCAAAGGAUAUAGGUAGACUUGAUGGGAUAUAUUGCAAAAGAGGAACCCAGUGCCAAGGGCCAACACUUGUGGAAGAAGCAGGAAACAGGCCAGUCUCUUUCCUCUCAUAGUGACAGGUUACAUGAUAAGCAUGGUGUGGUCACCUUGACCUACUUAGUUGUACAUGUCUAUCUACAAACGCUGAACAUUCUCAGGAAACAGAUAAGACUUGCAGUCUGGUGUACAAGGCAAAACUAUGCAAGACUCAAGGCUGACACAGGCCUGCUUCUUAUAGUAAUCCAGUCCUAACUGUUGUUUGUAGAACUCAAAUUUUCACAUGAAUAUGUAACUAUUAAUCACUUUAAUAAAUCUGACUGGCAC